rnacentral:rRNA from 1 species
GAUGAACGCUGGCGGCGUGCCUAACACAUGCAAGUCGAGCGAAGCGGGGACGGGUGAGGAACACGUGGAGAACCUCCUAUAAGACUGGGAUAAGUUCGGGAAACCGGAGCGAAACGGGAUACUGAUAGAUGGCUCCGCGCUGCAUUAGCUAGUUGGUGAGGUAACGGCUGACCAAGGCAACGAAGCAUACCCGACCGGAGAGGGUGAUCGGCCACACUGCAACUGAGACACGGUCCCAAGUCCGACGGGAGGAAGCGGUAUGCAAUCUUCGGCAAUGGGCGAAAGCCUGAUGGAGCAACGCCGCGUGAGGGAUGAAGGUCUCCGGAUCGUAAAACUCUGUUAUUCGGGAAGUGGUACCCAAUCAGAAAGCACCGGCUAACUACGUGCCAGAAGCCGCGGUAAUUC